rnacentral:rRNA from 1 species
UACAGAGGUGGCAAGCGUUGUUCGGAAUUACUGGGCGUAAAGGGCGAGUAGGUGGCCAUCUAAGUCAGACGUGAAAUCCCCCGGCUUAACCUGGGAACUGCGUCUGAUACUGGACGGCUUGAGUAUGGGAGAGGAACGUAGAAUUCCAGGUGUAGCGGUGAAAUGCGUAGAUAUCUGGAGGAACACCGGUGGCGAAGGCGGCAUCCUGGACCGACACUGACACUGAGGAGCGAAAGCCAGGGGAGCAAACGGG